rnacentral:lncRNA from 1 species
UAUCAACUUCGAUUAAGGGACAUAAAAGAGGAAACUAUCACACAUAAGUAGUAGCAUAAAAUUAACUUAAUUCUGUAAGUCACAUUGUAAAAUUUACUCUCAAAGCCAUCCUGGAGUUCAUUAAGAUUUUUAAGUAGGAUGUUCAUAUCUUAAGCAAAUAAAACACGUAGACAGAUAAUAUAUCAACUAGAUAAAACAAGUGUAUAACUCUUUGCGACUUCUUCGCCCACAGCAGCAUUGAUUUCAACAAACCAAUGUUUAACCUGAGGGAAAUAACUUAAAACAUGCUGAAGAAUUAGCAUUGUUACUCAAAAAUAAAGACAUACUCUUGUGGGGAAAGUUGAAUUGCCAAUGUUAGCAAAAUUCUCCGAAACCAAGGACUCAGCAACAUUUACUGAAAGAAUUCCAGGAAGCUGUCGAUUAAACAGUGUAUAAUCAUCUUCGUUUUGAGAUGAAUCUUCAGAAGAAUCGUAGUCAACAGCAGUUUGAAUAUCACUAUUAUUUUCAUCCCCGAAACUUAUAUAUUUAGGAGCACCAGUAUUCCAAAGUGAAGUAAAGUUUUCAAUUGGUAUCCAUUUAUUUGUACCCUGUUUGUAUUAGUUCAAGUUAAAAUCGAAUGUAUACGUACGGGAUUAAGCAGGUACGAUGGACUAUACGUUGCCUUAUACUUCAUUUUGGGACAUGUGUGAAUAUAAUAACCUGCAAGGUCAAUCAACGUAAUUAAAUAAAUGACAUUUUAGCCUACCCAUGUAGUAGUACCGAUAUCCGCAUUCAAGAGCAAGCCAGAUUUCACGGCAGGCACUAAUCCUUCCCAGAGAAAACUUAGACAUAUCAGGAUCAUAAAACAGAUAAACGCUAGAAACACCAUGUGGUAGCAAGUCUAAAACUCCAACUGCCACAAGCCUUCCUUGAAAUCGAUACAUCUGAUGAUAAGAACCAUACUUUAUCCCCUUGUCUUCAUUAAAUAAAGGAGAGUUGCAAAGAAACCUGCUAAAUCCUUUUUUCGUGAUUUCCUCUUCUUUCUCUAAAUGAACUUGCAUUUGAUACUUUUUGAAGACUUCAAAUUUCUCAUCGGUGUAAGUGCAAGGCUCCAUAGUUACAGAGUAUUUUUCAGCUCCGAGCGAUUCUAUAGUUUGAAAGGCAUUGUUCAAAUAAUCUGUGCUAAUUUCGCUUUUCAUAGGUUUUAAUGGCUUUCCAUUUACAUAUUUGACCCAUUUUUUUAUUGCCUUCUUUUGCUCUUUUGCAAUUUUAAAAUUAUAGCUGUCGAGUCUUCAACAUUCGGCGGUUAGUAAUCAAUCAUAUUUGGCGACUUAUGCUAAGUACCUGAUUGUAUAAAGAGAACAGCAAGAUGUUUUCCCGUUGGGUUUAUAUAAAUAAUGUCCUGAACGUCUUAUUUUAUAUUAGCAAUGUUAACUAAUAAAGGUUUUUACCUCCAUCCCAAAUCAAUCAAUCGCUGGUAGUCCUGAGGUUAAAUGUAGGUUAGCAAAAUUUGCAAAAAGCAGAGUUAUACGCUUACUUCACAACUGAGCUUUUCUGCUAAUAAACCAAAAUGCUCGGUCUUUCUUCCACUUUUACAAUAACCACAUUCAGUACUGACGUUGUACCCUGUGUACAACAGUUUAUCCAAUACCAUACUAUUGUUUGAAAAUUUCCCUGUUUAAUAUUAAAUGAACUAUAUCAUCAGUAGUAAAACUCUUAGUUCAGUUCUUUUGCCUUUAUUUUGAAGGCUCUUUGAGUAGGUGAACUAAGACUACACCAAUUAUUUCUUGAAGAUUAAGUACCCUAUUUUUCGUUGAGUGCAUGUUUAUAGAAAUUUCCUGAUUAAUCAUAUUAAAAAGUCUAUCACAUUUUCAUACGAAUAUCUAGAAAAAAACCCAAAAAAUACAUAGUUCUCUUGACACCUUUUACAAGAGUCAAUGACAAAAGUGUAUACGUCUAAUACAACUAUAACAUGCACUAACGAUAAACAAAACAUAUAAAAAGCGACUAAUAUUAAU